GGAGGCUGUAUAUAUUAAAAUUUAUCACCUUUGUAGUCAUUGCAAAGUAAAAUGCUUGAAUAAUUAUAUCAUAUCAUUGACUAAUAAUGAGCAGAAUAAUAUAAGAAGAUGUGGUAUAAGUGCCAAUAAGAAAAAUCUCCAUCUAAGUCACUAUUCGUAAAAGUAAACCAUCAUAGGCCAAAGUACGGUCUUCAACACGGAGCAUUGGCUCACACUGAACAACAAACUAUAAAGGCCCCCAAAACGAUAUCCAUGUUACUACUAGUAUAUAUAUUACAAAGAAAAUUGAGUAAAUUGAUGUUAUACCUAAGAAAAAAAUCAACCCUGCUA
rnacentral:lncRNA from 1 species